UACGGGGGGGGCAAGCGUUGUUCGGAAUUACUGGGCGUAAAGGGCUCGUAGGUGGCCAACUAAGUCAGACGUGAAAUCCCUCGGCUUAACCGGGGAACUGCGUCUGAUACUGGAUGGCUUGAAUUCGGGAGAGGGAUGCAGAAUUCCAGGUGUAGCGGUGAAAUGCGUAGAUAUCUGGAGGAAUACCGGUGGCGAAGGCGGCAUCCUGGACCGAGAUUGACGCUGAUGAGCGAAAGCUAGGGGAGCAAACGGG
rnacentral:rRNA from 1 species